UACGGAGGGGGCAAGCGUUGUUCGGAAUUACUGGGCGUAAAGCGUGCGCAGGCGGCUUCUCAAGUCAGGGGUGAAAGCCCAGAGCUCAACUCUGGAAUUGCCUUUGAGACUGAGUGGCUUGAGUACGAGAGAGGUGAGUGGAAUUCCCAGUGUAGAGGUGAAAUUCGUAGAUAUUCGCAAGAACACCAGUGGCGAAGGCGGCUCACUGGCCCGAUACUGACGCUGAUGCACGAAAGCGUGGGGAGCAAACAGG
rnacentral:rRNA from 1 species